CCCUUCCCUUAGAGUUUGAUCCUGGCUCAGGACGAACGCUGGCGGCGUGCUUAACACAUGCAAGUCSAACGGAAAGGCCCUGCUUUUGUGGGAUGCUCGAGUGGCGAACGGGUGAGUAACACGUGAGUAACCUGCCCUUGACUUUGGGAUAACUUCAGGAAACUGGGGCUAAUACCGGAUAGGAGCUCCUGCUGCAUGGUGGGGGUUGGAAAGUUUCGGCGGUUGGGGAUGGACUCSCGGCUUAUCAGCUUGUUGGUGGGGUAGUGGCUUACCAAGGCUUUGACGGGUAGCCGGCCUGAGAGGGUGACCGGCCACAUUGGGACUGAGAUACGGCCCAGACUCCUACGGGAGGCAGCAGUGGGGAAUAUUGCACAAUGGGCGGAAGCCUGAUGCAGCAACGCCGCGUGCGGGAUGACGGCCUUCGGGUUGUAAACCGCUUUCGCCUGUGACGAAGCGUGAGUGACGGUAAUGGGUAAAGAAGCACCGGCUAACUACGUGCCAGCAGCCGCGGUAAUAC
rnacentral:rRNA from 1 species